AGAUUGAACGCUGGCGGCAUGCCUUACACAUGCAAGUCGAACGGUAGAGUAGCAAUACUUGAGAGUGGCGAACGGGUGAGUAAUAUAUCGGAACGUGCCCAGUCGUGGGGGGAUAACGUAGAGAAAUUUACGCUAAUACCGCAUACGAUCUAAGGAUGAAAGCGGGGGACUCGCAAGAGCCUCGCGCGAUUGGAGCGGCUGAUACCAGAUUAGGUUGUUGGUGAGGUAAAAAGCUCACCAAGCCGACGAUCUGUAGCUGGUUUGAGAGAACGACCAGCCACACUGGGACUGAGACACGGCCCAGACUCCUACGGGAGGCAGCAGUGGGGAAUUUGGACAAUGGGCGAAAGCCUGAUCCAGCAAUGCCGCGUGCAGGAAGAAGGGCCCUUACGGGUUUGUAAACGUGCUUUUUGUAACGGAACGAAACGGUCUGCUUUAAUACUAGCGGACUAAUGACGGUACCGUAAGAAUAAGCACCGGCUAACUACGUGCCAGCAGCCG
rnacentral:rRNA from 1 species